rnacentral:lncRNA from 1 species
AUUCUCUCUCGCUGUAUUGGAUUUAUCAUCUUAAAUUUUAAUUAUAUUGUAUUAUAGUGUGUUGUUUUGCAUUCCGAUAUUUUAUUUAGUAAAUUAGUUUGUUUCUCCUCAGAUUGUUGCCGCUGUUCUUUGCUCUCAGGCCCAUCUCCUUACCCUUUUUUCCCCUUUCCCUUUCCCGGGGCAUGGGUCUGUGUGUCCCCCGUCCCAUUUGUCACGGAACUGGGUUGAACGCCUGUAAACCGUUGACAUCCUGCUAACUGACACCUGGCAGAAAGGAGUGGCAAGUAGCCGUUGGCCCUAUGGACUCUUCUGAGGAAGGAACAUGUUUGCAGUGUUUUAGCUGAUUCUAGAUUGUUUGGCAACUUUUUGCUGAAAUCGUUACUUCGCUUUUCAUUCCUCUGCUGCAUUUUGAAGUCUGGAGUAACCUCAUGUUAUCUUUUCUGGAACUAAAUCAAACUAAUGCCACAGUGGCUACAGCAAGAGUCCAAUCCCAGCUGCCAUCUUCCAUCACAACUCCACUGGAACAGAGGGCCAAGCCCUGAGUUACCACUACAGAAACAAAAGGCAAACAAAUCAUCUGCAGUCACUAGUAUCAUGAAGCCUGCCUGACGGUUUCACCAUGCUGCUGCAGCCUACCUUGUGCCGGAGGGACACUACAGAUGUAGCAGCUGUUGGCAGGGAAAUGCACAGCUAAGGGAGGUAAUAGCUUGUUCAGUGCGCUCCUUUUGCAGCCCCUGGCAAUAGGUUUUCUGCAGCUUCCUGCAGAGCUGCAAAUAGAAACGAAGGCUGUGUCUGACUUGCUGAACCCUGAAGAAGGUGACGGGUGGAAAAGAACUCACAGGUUCUUUUUUGCAGAGUGAAUUUCUUGCUGCAGUAAUUUAUUCUAGCUAGGAUAUAAAAUUUACAUUUCUA